AGUCGGACGAGGAGGAGCAUCCUUCGAGUGGCGAACGGGUGAGUAACGCGUUGGUGACCUGCCCUGGAGUGUGGAAUACCAGGCCGAAAGGCUUGCUAAUACCGCAUGGCCCAAUGGGGGUUAGAAGCCCAUUGGGAAAGGUGAAAACCGCUCUGGGAGGGGCCUGCGACCCAUCAGCUAGUUGGUAAGUGUAACGGCCUACCAAGGCGAUGACGGGUAGGGGACCUGAGAGGGUGAUCCCCCACAAUGGAACUGAAACACGGUCCAUACACCUACGGGUGGCAGCAGUAGGGAAUAUUGCUUAAUGGGCGCAAGCCUGAAGCAGCAACGCCGCGUGUGCGAUGAAGGCCUUCGGGUUGUAAAGCACUUUUCACCGGGAAGAGGAAGGACGGUACCGGUGGAAUAAGCCUCGGCUAACUACGUGCCAGCAGCCGCGGUAAAACGUAGGAGGCGAGCGUUAUCCGGAUUUACUGGGUGUAAAGCGCGUGCAGGCGGUUGGCUAAGUUGGGUGUGAAAGCUCCUGGCUCAACUGGGAGAGGUCGCUCAAGACUGGCCGA
rnacentral:rRNA from 1 species